CCGCCGAGGAGGGGCGAAGGCGUGGGUGGGCAGGCGCUGGCCCCGCCGCCAGCGCUGAUGCUGGCCGCCUGCCGUGCUGCCGCAGGGGAGGAGGCCCAGCUGGCACAGGAGAAGAUGGAGUCCCUGAGGAUGCGGUACCUCAUCGUGGGCCAGAGCAGCGCCGACACCAUGCAGGGACUGGAGCAGACCCUGGAGGCCUCGUCCCGCGUGGGCACCGCCCAGGAGGACCUGGCCCUUUGGCUGGGCCGCAUGGAGAAGGAGCUGGCCUCCUGGGACAGCCAGCAUGGCGACCACCAGGCGCUGGUGGUCAGCACAAGCGACAGAGAAAAGUUCGAGCAGAUCCUGGACUCUGAACUCUCCCACCUGGCUGGGCUCGGUGGGCGGCUAGAGGAGAUCAGCCAGGUGCAGCUGGAUGCACAGGCCCUCCGCACACAGCUCUCCGAUCAGAAGCUGCUCUCUGCUGAGAUCCUGCACCACCGGGGACUGGUGGAGCGUCUGCUGGGGAUCUCGGACCCGCUGCUCCAGUCCUGCCCCGAGCUCCUGCAGCAGCACCUCCAGGUGAGCAGCCGUCUGGGUGCUGGCGCUGCCCAGCCAGGGGCUCCCCACCCACCGGGG
rnacentral:lncRNA from 1 species